CAUCUGCUCCUUUUGUCCGGAAUUACUUGUCGCACAAAUGGAUAAAAAUGGAUGUAUCUAUAACUAAAAUACGUAUAGAUACACCCUUUCUCCGACAAGUAUGUCCGGACGAAAAGAGUAUGAC
rfam:Hordeum vulgare subsp. vulgare, WGS project CAJW01000000 data, contig: morex_contig_141837